GCUAGGUUAGCUCAGUUGGUAGAGCACUCGAUCGAUAAUCGAGAUGUCACAGGUUCGAGCCCUGUACCUAGCA
rnacentral:tRNA from 1 species